rnacentral:rRNA from 1 species
AACGAACGCUGGCGGCAUGCCUAACACAUGCAAGUCGAACGAGACCUUCGGGUCUAGUGGCGCACGGGUGCGUAACGCGUGGGAACCUGCCCUUAGGUUCGGAAUAACUCCCCGAAAGGGGGUCCUAUUCCGGGAUAUUGUUUUCGGCCCAAAGAUUUAUCGCCUUUGGAUGGGCCCGCGUUGGAUUAGCUAGUUGGUAGGGUAAAAGCCUACCAAGGCGACGAUCCAUAGUUGGUCUGAGAGGAUGAUCAGCCACACUGGGACUGAGACACGGCCCAGACUCCUACGGGAGGCAGCAGUGGGGAAUAUUGGACAAUGGGCGAAAGCCUGAUCCAGCAAUGCCGCGUGAGUGAUGAAGGCCUUAGGGUUGUAAAGCUCUUUUACCCGGGAUGAUAAUGACAGUACCGGGAGAAUAAGCUCCGGCUAACUCCG